rnacentral:rRNA from 1 species
AAUAGAUACCCUGGUAGUCCACGCUGUAAACGAUGAGGACUAAAUGUUGGUAGGGGAACCUAUCGGUAUUGAAGCUAACGCGAUAAGUCUUCCGCCUGGGAAGUACGGCCGCAAGGUUGAAACUCAAAUGAAUUGACGGGGGCCCGCACAAGCGGUGGAGCAUGUGGUUUAAUUCGAUGCAACGCGAAGAACCUUACCUACCCUUGACAUCCUGCGAAUCCCGAUGAGAGUUGGGAGUGCCGCAAGGAGCGCAGAGACAGGUGCUGCAUGGCUGUCGUCAGCUCGUGUUGUGAGGUGUUGGGUUAAGUCCCGUAACGAGCGCAACCCUUGUCCUUAGUUGCCAGCAUUAAGUUGGGGACUCUAAGGAGGCUGCCGGUGAGGAACCGGAGGAAGGCGGGGACGACGUCAAGUCAUCAUGGCCUUUAUGGGUAGGGCUACACACGUGCUACAAUGGGGCGUACAGAGGGUCGCGAACCCGCGAGGGGGAGCCAAUCUCAUAAAGCGUCUCGUAGUCCGGAUUGGAGUCUGCAACUCGACUCC